rnacentral:rRNA from 1 species
CCUACGGGUGGCAGCAGUGGGGAAUAUUGGGCAAUGGGCGCAAGCCUGACCCAGCAACGCCGCGUGAAGGAAGAAGGCUUUCGGGUUGUAAACUUCUUUUCUCAGGGACGAAGAAAGUGACGGUACCUGAGGGAUAAGCCACGGCUAACUACGUGCCAGCAGCCGCGGUAAUACGUAGGUGGCAAGCGUUAUCCGGAUUCAUUGGGUGUAAAGGGCGUGUAGGCGGGAGCGCAAGUCAGAUGUGAAAACUCAGGGCUCAACCCUGAGCCUGCAUUUGAAACUGUGUUUCUUGAGUGCUGGAGAGGCAAUCGGAAUUCCGGGUGUAGCGGUGAAAUGCGUAGAUAUACGGAGGAACACCAGUGGCGAAGGCGGAUUGCUGGACAGUAACUGACGCUGAGGCGCGAAAGCGUGGGGAGCAAACAGGAUUAGAUACCCGGGUAGUC